UACGGGGGGGAGCAAGCGUUGUUCGGAUUUACUGGGCGUAAAGGGCGCGUAGGCGGCCACCGCAAGUCGACUGUGAAAUCUCCGGGCUUAACCCGGAAAGGUCAGCCGAUACUGCGGGGCUAGAGUGCAGAAGGGGCAACUGGAAUUCCCGGUGUAGUGGUGGAAUGCGUAGAUAUCGGGAGGAACACCAGUGGCGAAGGCGGCUUCCUGGACCGGUUCUGACACUGAGGAGCGAAAGCGUGGGGAGCGAUCCGG
rnacentral:rRNA from 1 species